UUACACUGGCAGGCGAGGCAAGUUUGUUUGAUUAGAAGAAGUCAUUAACACGACUCACGUCAGCAGCUGUUGCCCAAAAAUAUCGGUUUCAUUUACAGGGCGUGGAUUCAUUGCAAUCAAUGACAAUCUCAACUGCAAUAGCUUUUCAUAAUAACUUUGACAGCUGGAUAUGAAAUUGGAAUAUCAUUUAUAAAAACAGAUUCUACGUAAAAAGUCAUUCUUCUGAUGAUAAUGGAAAUACACUUGCUAGUUGGUUUUAAAUUUUACUUAUUGUUAAUAUACAGGAUUCAAAAAUUAAAGUGAAUUACAUUUUGAGUGAACUAUUAUGAACUAUUUUAUGGCAAUAGUUUAAAUAGUUAAAAAUAGUACAUGUAUUCUUUAGUAUUGUUUAUUUCAUUUUUCCAAAAAUAAAAUAUGAUAUCUUCAAAAAGUUUGACCUAGAUAACUUAAUAAGGCCAGGAUCUAAGCAGCGUGUACUAAUCAGGACGUAUUUCGAGUUUGAAUUAUACUUUAGUGAAUAUAAAAUUCUGAUAGCCAACCUCUGAGUUUAUAAAAUAUCCGUAAAAUAGAAUCAUUUUUUGAAAAAGUUGUAUGUAAAAUAAAUUGAUGGGUACGAAAACGGA